GUGGGGAAUAUUGGGCAAUGGGCGCAAGCCUGACCCAGCAACGCCGCGUGAGGGAAGAAGGCUUUCGGGUUGUAAACCUCUGUCCUUGGUGACGAAAAAAAUGACGGUAGCCAAGGAGGAAGCCCCGGCUAACUACGUGCCAGCAGCCGCGGUAAUACGUAGGGGGCGAGCGUUGUCCGGAAUUACUGGGCGUAAAGGGUGCGUAGGUGGCCUUUUAAGUUGGAUGUGAAAUACCCGGGCUUAACUUGGGGGGUGCAUCCAAAACUGGGAGGCUAGAGUGCAGGAGAGGAAAGCGGAAUUCCUAGUGUAGCGGUGAAAUGCGUAGAUAUUAGGAGGAACACCAGUGGCGAAGGCGGCUUUCUGGACUGUAACUGACACUGAGGCACGAAAGCGUGGGGAGCAAACAGGAUUAGAUACCCGGGUAGUCC
rnacentral:rRNA from 1 species